CAGGGUUGGUUCCAGUGUGGAGUCCAUACCCUGAGCACACAACUGACUUGAAAUGAAGAGGGGGAAAUAAUAAGAGAGUCAUCGUAGCUCCAGGUGCUGUGUCAUAGAUUCCUCACGGGAGUCCUGCAAAGUUGAUAUUAUUUUCCUCUCUCUUCUUUGCACAGAAGAAAACCAAGCAGUUUCCCCUUCGCAUCUCAGGUCAGGAAACUUAGAGGUUAUCCAGGCCAACCAUCCUUCAGAGCAAUCAGUGAAAAUUCCAGCUGGCGAUGGCUGUUCACUAUCACUGAGGAGGGGCAACAUCACUUCCCAUGAAAAUGCUGCUGCUAAGAUCCUCCUCAACACCCUUGUCAAAAGGGGCACACCUGGGCACCUGAAGAAACCUUAACAACUCAAUGAUUUCACAAUUGUCAUUCAUAUACCAAGCAGGAUGUUCUAUUCUGUGAAUGUACCUGUGUUUUAAAGAAUAAGAACACCAGCGAUAUAAAUGCUUAAAUGAAAAGUACAUGGGGGAGGAUGGGUGACCCAGAGCCACAAGAUCCAAUAGUCCUACUAAUAGCUAAAGGGAGGCUGGUAAUGUGCAAAUCAGUCUCCAUUUCAGGGCCUCAACAUGACGAAGUCAUCACAUUCACAAACUAGGCUCUGGGCCUUUUCAAAGAUCUAGAGCCAAAGCCUCUGCUCUACUCCUUAACGAAGUCAGGCAUCCUGCAGUGACUAUGUGAGCCGAGUUUUGGAGGACAGUGCAAAGUGGAAGUGGGAGUCCAAGAGGAUGUUGGAAAUGCUGGAGAAACGAACUUCUAAGGGACAGCAAGGGGGCAGCUGUUGGGACCUCACACCAGGGCUCAAGG
rnacentral:lncRNA from 1 species